CGGCGGCGGCACCGGCUUCCUUGGGAAGCUUCUUUCCGGCCUUGGGUUUCUUCUCGGCAGGAGCCUUCUCGGCCACCGUAGACUUCUUCUCUUCGACGGGUUUCUUCUCAGCAGGCUUCUUCUCUCCCUUUGGCGCCAUUACAAGAAUUGAGAAAUUUAGGGUUUCGAAUUGGAAAUUGGAUAUUAAAACUGAAACGAGAUGAUGAAUGCAAAGGUUGCGGUAGUUUAUAUGUAUAAGAAGAUUCUAUAGUUGCUAUUGGCUAAAAUGGUUAUUCGCGGAUUGUUGACGUGGAACACUUUUAAGCCGUUGUACUAGUUUUAAUAGAAUAUGACAAUCAACGGUCACAAUCUUGCUUUAACUCAACGAUGAUGAUGGUGCUGUGUGGGUGACUGGAUUACAUACUUUUAAUUUAUUUUGUUCCAACAAAACUCUCCUAGAUACUUAUUGCUAAAAUAAAAUAUACUCCGUAUUUAAUUAUCAUUUAGAUUAUUAUAAAGAUAUUUUAUGAAAUAUUAUAAAAAGAUUCAUCUACACAUUUAUAAAUUUUUACCACAAGUUAAAUUAAACUUUUAUUUUUAUUUUUAAACUCGUUUUUAAAAUAAAAAAACAGUUUGCAUCAAUCUAAACCCACUUUAAAAAAUCAUGUAAAAUUUUAAGUUGUCUUAGUCCAGUGAAGGAAUGAAGGUCACAAACAUUAUUUCUUUAGGGUACUUACCAUACAAAUAGUUUUAAUAUAAUGAAAUCUAAGAUAAAUCUUCAUUAGAAUGGCACAUAAUCAAAGCUUCAAAAAAUUCCGGAUCGUCAACACCUAUAAGCAGUAUAAGAUUUUAGGUCUCUAAAAAUUAUAUAACUACUAUAAAAGACUAAUGAAUGCCUUACAUUUAAUUACACAUUAUUUUAAUCAUAAAUACCUCACACUUUCAAUUGUCACUCAUUUGACGACAUUUUGUGUUUGCAAGUACCCCCCACCCCACCCCACCCAUCCACCCACACACACACCGGUAUAAAGCAUCAAGAUAGUAAAUCACCUAUCGGAGUUCACAAUUAGAUGUCAAUUCAUCGCCUCGCUCAUGAACUAGAUAGGUCUUUUCGAGAAUAAUUGGUGUCGUCUAUGGAAACUGACUUUCAACGUUUCCACAAUACUCGAUAAUAAGAUUCAUUGCUGACCAAAGGGAGAAAGACUGCAUCAACGUCAGUGACAAUGCCAUACCAUUUUCUAUUCAUUGAAAUCAUCAAAAUUGCUCCAAAAUUACAUAUGAACAUAUAAUAUUUCAGUCAUCUUAAUGAGUGUCAAUUCACUUACCUUCACCGCCAGCGGUUUCAACAUUUCCUUCAUUAGUCGAAGGCAUUAUGUUGUUGAUGAUCUUGUUAUCAAAUGAAGGAAUUCAACAAUCACCCCUAAAUAUAUCGGUAAAAGGUAAUACUUUGCCAUUAUCCACCCCCUCAAUCCUCGACGGUCUCUUGGUUGUCGCUUAGAGAUGGUCAAUGUCUUUGGAGGAACAUAAUGAAAGGCUUUAACGGAUUAAAGUGACCAGUCUCAGCAACCAAAGUCCCAUGAAGGACAAUAUAGGGUUUGAUAAGAGUCAAUAACGAAACACUGACUUUCUACAAUAAGGAUCUAGAGGAAUCAUCAUGUCCUCACGGCCCUAGAUCCCACUCCCUAAAACUAAGGAAACGUUUAUCGCUUAGUCCCAAAGACCAUAAUCUUUGUUACAUCCAGCACCAUGGGAAUUUACCACCAUCUUCCUUUUUAUAAGAAAUUGGGGACAAUGAGGACGCUCCUAAAAGUGAUGUUUUCCCCGUAGAAUAAACGAACACCCCUUAUCUUUUGACUUUGUUGUAUUUUGUUGCUUUUUCAUCUAUAUUUUUAUUUUGUUGCAUAAUUACUUGUUUGUUUUUCCAAAAUGUUUUCAAACUCUGUUUUUCCAAAUGAUUUUGUUUUCAACCAAUGUUUUACAAACAUCCACAGUCCCCCUUGUAAGACCCCAAUUUUGAUCCUAAGAUCCAUCAUGUUAUUAUCAUCAUAUGCAUUGGCAUUGGGAUCACACUUUGGCAUCCUCAUUACCCCUCAUUCAUUGGGUUUACAUUGGGAGAGAUCAUCAAGCACCAUGUGAUUGUAUCAUAUUUUCUUAUAAUUUACUAACCAAAAUACCAAAAAUAUGUCUUUGUAUAAUCUAAUUCUUUUGUAGGUAGGGCACAUGCUCACCUUUGAUCUAUCAAGCUCACAUCUAGGGUUUAAGACCCUCAUUGCAAUGAGCUCAAUCAAGAUUUGGUUUAAUAUGGAUCUAAGUAUUAUAUAUGAAUCCCCAUGAUCUUCACAUUUUAUUUUGAUCAAGAAAUCAUCAAGAGUUUGGAGUUGGUUUGCCUUGGAAACCCUAAUUCAUCUGGGUAUUUUGUGUGACUUCUUCAACACGUUUCUUCACCAGUUGAUCAAAUAUUUCAAGUUAUACUUCAAAUUUCAUCAUCUUAUGCAUGUAUGAUCCUCCGUGAGUCUUAAAAGUCAAGAGAAUGUCAAGCUAGCAAGUUGGUUCAUGGUAGUUGACCAGAGGAAUUCAACUGAUCAAAAUUGGGGUUCCCUAGACCCUAUCUCCUAAACUUUUUGUCAUAUGAAAAUGAUUCCAAGACAAACGUUACUCUAAAUGACAUUACAAAAAACUUUCAUGUUAAGGUCUAGAGCUAGUUUUGCUUCGAAAAUCAUUUUUUAUGGUGAAAGAUUAUAGGUCAUUUUGUCUAAACCCUAAUUUGGAAGUCAACUCCCAAGACCAUAACUUGCUCAAUUUUUAUGAUAUAAAAGCUAUUCAAUUUUCACAAUCAAAUUCAAGAUGUCUACUUCAACUUAGAUGUUUGGAGGAAGAGAAAAUUCAACUUUUAAAUGCAUGUGAUAUGAGGAGAGAUUAUAGGUCAUUUUGGGCCAAUACCAUUGAACAAGUGAUUUUCCUCAACUUCUAAAAUGUAUAACUCCUUCAUACUAAAUCCAAAUGAGGUCAAAUUUGUAACCAAUUUUAAGGACUUUGAGAGAGUUACAACUUUUAUUAAGGAAAGUUUCUCAUUUGAAGUCCAUAGAAAAAGUUACCCAAGGUGGAAGAAGUGAACAUAUGGCUUGGUACUUAGAAUUUUUUUUGAUAUGUUUGAUUUUCCAAACUUCCACCUCAAAAUUCAUCAUUAUCCAAGUUUCAAAUGAAAAAGUGUUUAACAUAAAAGUUGUUCCUCUUGAUCUAACCUUUCUAAAAAAGUCCAACUUCAUCCCAUUUGGACAAAGUAUAAGUGACUUGCGCAUGGCUUAAAGUUGGAUGACCAUUUGGCAUAAUUGAACUCCCAUCUUCCAUACACAAAUGCAUGGCUUGUUAACAUGACUUCAGCAUUGCUUACACAUGAUUUUGGACCUAAGUGAAUCAUUACAUGGGCCUACCACACGCCCAUGCAUCCAUGCAAAGUGAAAUUGCUAUUUUUGAAAGUUUGAAACAAGUGUGCAAAUAACAAUGCUUUGGCUAUAAAUAGAAGCUCAAUCACUCAGAAUUGAGGACCCUUGCGCGCCAGCUUUGAAUCCCUAGCCCUAAACACCUUCAUUCAUAGGAUAACCUUGAGGAUUUCCAUUAGAAAUCGAGUCUGAAUCUCCACUGUUUUGAGGUUCAAAUCUCCAAGAGUCCUGCUUCUUUCUUGAUUCAUUUCCACUCCAUCAAGCAUCCAGAGCAAGGCUAAGCAUAAUUGAGAGCAAGAUCGUGGCCAUCUGAACCUGUAGUGAAGGUGAUUUUCUCAAUUUUUUAUCUCUUCGAUUCUCACACAAUUCUCCAUAAUUCUUCUUGAUUUUUGGUUGUCUGAAGUCUUACCAAUGUAGGCAAGAAGAUUGAGUUGCUUUGAGGACAAAUCGAAGUAACUCGAAUCAUGAUCCUCAAAAUUCAACUCCCUGUAUCUUUCAAUAUACUUGGACUUAGAUGAAAUUGAGGCCAAAUUCGAGCUCCUGAGCAUUUUUACUUUAAAUUCAUGUCCUCCUUUUUUAUUUUACUCAUGGUCGAAGGUGGUAUCUCAAACCAUAGGAUCAUCUUAUUUUGUUUUAAUCUCACACGUUGGUUUUGAUUACCGUCCCUGCAAUGCAUUGACUUAGGUCCAUCAUGGAACGCGCGUUGGGAUCCACUUGAUCUGCCACCUCAAUUAAUGAGGGAGAUCAAGUGGUCCACGUAUUUUAGCAUUUUCUGAUUUUUAGUUUAAUUGCUUUAUUUUCAUUAAUUCAUAUUAAUUUUAAUAUUGAUCCAAAUCUCAAUUAAUGAGGGAGAUCAAGUGGUCCACGUAUUUUAGCAUUUUCUGAUUUUUAGUUUAAUUGCUUUAUUUUCAUUAAUUCAUAUUAAUUUUAAUAUUGAUCCAAAAAAUAUGAGACUUUCACCACAAAAUUUCAAAUAAAUUCCUCUUUCAUUUUCUGAAUUAAAAUUGUUUUUUGGAUCAUUAUUAAAAAUUUUCAUGAUUUAAUUGUUUUUGUACAUAUUUAUAAUUGUUUAAAAAUACUUUUAAGUUUCCAAAAAUGAUGAAUUUUUUCUCCAAGGUCCUUUGACCUUGUUUGACCUAUGAUAAACCUCAUGGUCAUUUAUUUGGUGUUUUGAUGGGGUUUUAGGAUUUUGACCAACCAUUAUUUAAUUUAAUGCAUUUUAUAAUUGAUUUUAAUUGUUUAAUUGCAAAUAAGUUGUGUUGGGCUAUUUGUGUUGACUUGUUGAGUUUGACUAUUGUUGUUGGGUCUUAGUCAAAGUUGAUUUGACUUUGUUGAGUUAAAAUAAUUGGAUUUAGGGGAUUGAUGAAAUGUACAUUUCAUCUCCCAAAAUGAAUUAAUGAUAUUAAUUUGAUAAAAGUCAUCCUUUGACCAAUUUGUGUUGAUUUCGUUUCCCCUCCCUCUUCAUCUCAAUCCUAUUAUAUUCUCAUUCAUUUCUUUGACCUAUGAUAUCUCUAUAUCCUAAGGCUAGUGGAUUGUAAAAUCAACAUAAGUAUGUAUGAGAUUAGGUCCACCCAUUUUGCCACUUUCUUUUAAGUGUGGUAUGUUUUACGAGUAUGGUUCAUAAUAUCAUAUCUCUAACAUGCAUUAACACUAAAAUUUCUAUUGAUCGGCCUCAAAUAGUUAUGACUUCUACAUAAGUCCAAUUACGAUUGUUUAACAUAGCGCUAAAUUUUGACUCAUAAGCAUAGCAUUCUAGUAAGUGAGAUUGUAAGUCUCCCCCCUUUCAUGGUAUUAUGUAGAAACUUUGCCUUUUUUCCUUCCUUUGGAAGAUGUCUUGGUUCAAGGAUCUAUGCUUGUGAAUAGAGGGUUGAGUGUUCUCCAAAGAAUGACUUAAACAUUGAAAAGCAAAAGCAAUAUUAACUUCUAAUCAAAUAAGAUUCAACUAACAUUUAAUUUCAAGCACUUUACUUUUAUGCACUUUAAAUUCAAGUCUUUACUCAUUUGCCAUUAUUCAUACCAUUUAACUUGUUUAUUUUAAUGUCAUUUUCACUUUGCUCACUUGAGCUUUAUUUUGUGAUUAUAUUGUGAUUGUAUAUACUUGUUUGUGUAUUUUGUUUGGUUAUGCGGUCUUUUGACCUUAAUGUACAUAAUAACAACAAAAACUCUAAAAAAAGAUUUGUGUGGACUGUUGGUUUUGUUCUGAGACAUUGGACUUAGAAUUAGGCAACAUUCCAUAUGCAAAAGGACUUGGCCAAUGCCAACUUUUCUGAAACCAAGUGCCUGUGAAGUUAACUUUCAUCUGAAGCAAGUAUUGAGAUCCCACUUGAGUUCAUCUGCUACAUGGUCUUAUUAUAGAUGUUACUUUGAACCUAUGACUAAUGCCUAUCUCUGAGCCAUUCAAGAAGUAUGUCAUCUGGUGCAUGGGAGAUUAUGAAGAAGAUCAUGAAGUUGCUAAGCUUGGAUGUGGCUAUCUUUAUUUGAUGUCUUUCUCUUUAUCUUGCUAUUUGUGUAUUGAUAUUGCUUGAUUCUAAAGUCCAAGGGAAAUUUGGGUUUCUAUAUGACAUUCUUGUCUAUUGGAUUGCAGCCCAUUGGUCAAAUCUUUUUAACUCUUAACUUUUAAAUUUUUGUUUAGGAGUAGUUGUAACACCCCGAUGAAAUUAAGAUAAUUGUUUAAAUUAAGUUAAUAUUUUAUUUAUUAAUUUAAUUAAAUAAUUAGAAAAUUAUUGGAUUAUUAAUAUUAUUAUUGGGAUAAUAUUAUUGGGUUGGGGGGGAGGGGGAAAAAAAAAGGAGGGAAAAAUUGGCUUCCCCUACUUUUCCCCAAAUAAAACUGCUCGUUACCUGAAAACAGUUGUAAGGGUGAGUUCCCUCAAUCAAUAUAAUGAGUAUUAUAAAAAUAUCAUGUAUGUUAAGUGAUUCACACACUUCAUCACCUAAUCAAAACACACAUUCAGGAACAAAUAUUAAUUCAAAUCAUACUCAAAUAACAGCACAACAAUACCAACACAAACACACGUGAAUAUUGGAAUACAUCCAUUCAAUAUUACACGCUAUACAUAUUUAUGCAUGAGACUCCAUGCAUGCGGUACCGACUAUUGUGACAUAGUUCAACUCACCGUCCAAUCCGGCACGGCUACCAAGCUCACUAGUCCCUCAUUUGGACAUAGUGACUCUCACUAAUUCCUCACCAUGGGAUUAGCUACCACCCCAAAUGGCCAUGCUAUGCACGCUAUCACCUAGCAUGCAAACAUCAAAACAAAUCACAAUGAUUUACUCACUAAUUCCUCACCAUGGGAAUUACACACAUAAGCGCACAAUAUGCAUGCUAUCACUAGCAAUGCACAUCAACAACAUUUAAGAUAACACUGCUCACACUCUAAGCCAUAAAUAGUCUAUUAAAUGCAUAACAUUCACAUCAUUCAUGGUAUACCAUCACAUAUCAUCAACAAACGCAUAUCAUAUCAUGCACAUAAUAAAUCAUAGUAUAGCACACUCUACUAAUACCUAUACUAUUCAAACAAGGGAAUUGAUCCCUAAACAUCAUACCUCAGUAAGUACAUCCACUCAGCCUAAAAACCAAAAACUGCAUAACAUUGUUUCAGGAAAAUCACAAUCUGCCAUACGCGUAUUCCUAUGCCCUACGCGUAUUGCCCAACUGACCAAGUCCUACGCGUAAUGCCCACGCCCAUUACGCGUAUGCUAGCGUACCACUCCUCAUACGCGUACCAACAGAGACACUUUACGUUCAAACAUCAUCUCUUUCACUCUACGCGUAGGCCUCAUCCAUACGCGUACCAGCUCAUCUCAUACGCGUAUUGCUAGUGCCAUACGCGUCAUGACCAGAAACCAGAAUUUCCGAUCUGCGUGGCUUUCUCUGCUACGAGAUCUAUCCAAUUCAACUUCUACGUCCAAAUUUUACACGCAAUUCAUUAUAUCAUCUAACACGAAUCAGACACUUUUCGAUUUCACAAAUUGCCAACCUUUCUACUUAAUUCCUACGAAUUUUCAUCAUUAUCAUCCAAUUCGUUCAUCAUAUUUCACAGUUCAUCAAUAUCAUUUCAAUCGAGUCAAAUUCGCAGGUUCAUCACUCCAUUACAUGCUAUCCAUAAGACCAUCAAACGAUGAUAAACCCCCUUACCUGAGUAAAUCCGGCAAUUCCGUUAGCUUCAAGCUUUUCCUCUUCUCUUGCUCUGCCUCUUUUCCUUUCUCUUUCAAGCCGCUCUUUUCCUUUUUCACUUAGUCAAGAACGCUUCACCAUGAGGACUUUUUAUUAUUCAACUUAUAUACUGCAAUAAUAAAAANCAACUGUUUAUUUGAUUAAAUAAAGAGCAUGACUGUUAUUUUGGAACAUGGUGUGAAGUGAUCAUGUGACACCCUUAACUGCAUAAUUACUCUGAUGUUGUAUUUUGAUAUUUAAUUAAAUUAUUGGGGUAUUUUAGAAGGGUGUUACAGUAGUCUCUUCAUCUCCUCCCACUUCUUUAAUUUUAAAUCCUUCCCUCAUUUUAAAAUCUUCUUUGUUUGUGUUUUCUAAACUUAGACUUUAUUGCAAAUUAGAAACUUUGGCCUUAUGCCAUUGCAUUUUUAAACUCUUUUCUUAAUCAAACUUGUAAAUGAAUCUCACUAUAUUGACUUAAAAUUUCAAAAGACAAAAAGAACUAACACUCAUUCAAACCUUUUUAGACCUUUUGUGCCUUUGCUAACCUUAAAUUUUUGUUAAAAGCAAUGCACUCACUUUGAAAUUGUUACCACGAACUACGAGGUUUUGAUCCCUCAUUUUAUGUUGGUACGUAGGCACAAGUCCGAAGGUCUUGUCAAACACAAAUAUAAUUAAUGAAUUCUUUUCUCAUCCCUCCACUCUAUUUAUUGCAAACAUCAUUUUGUACAAACACACAUAUUCACACAAAAAAGGACUCCCUAUGAGUACCUAGGACACUUUGAAUGCUAAUACCUUCCCUCUGUGUAACCAACCCCCUUACCUGUAACCUCUGGCAUUUUAUUAGUUUUGAUUUGAAAACUUCUUAUCUUUGGGUUUUGUUCGUACUUUUCCCUUUUCCCUUGGAAACAAUAAAAGCGUGGUGGCGACUCUGGUUUUAUUGAAGUUAAGUUUAUCCAUAGAUUAAUGAUCAUGAAUUUAUCGCUACGCCCCCCCCCCCCUUCUUGUUUAUGGAGUCAUAUGUCCAAUAAGUGGAAUAAUAGUCUAACUCAUGUUUAAAUACUAAUCAUCUAGAGAGGAAGAUAACUUCAAACACUUAUUUUAACAAGAGGAUUUUCCUUAACGCACCUUCAUCGUUUAAUGGUGAUGGGUUUGUUAUAUGGAAAGUUGGAUUUAAAAUGUUCAUUAAAAUAUAUAAUAUUGUAUUUGUGGGAAACGAUAGUCAAUGGUCUGUUUAUUUUUGCUCACUAUGUUAACAGUGAAGUAGUAUAUAAACUUGGUUUCCUUUUGACUAAAAAAGACAAGACAAAUUUCAAAGAUAAAAAAGUUUUAGUUAUCACUUUGUAACACCUCGUAUAAUAUACAUCUAGAAAAUACAUUAUACACAAUGUUAAUUACUAGUGACACACCACAAGUGUCUAACGGCAUCACUAUAUAUACACAUGUCUAAAAGAAAAUAGAAUUAUGACACAUGUUAUACAUGGGUGCCUAAUUAAAAACAAAGAUCUAUGUACAAUAUUUAUAUUUCACAUAAUCCACAACGGAAGAUCACGAUAACGAAAGUCUUCGAAAUAUCAUCAUACAAAGUCAUAAUUAUACUUGUGUAAUUUACCACAAUAGAACAAUGACUUAAGCAUCUAAGGGAAUUUACACGUUGUAUGGAAAACACACAACACAAGUUCACAUAAACUCAAAGAAUCACUAUUCAGAAGCAAGAAACAUUGUUCCCCAACCGGACCUACGUUUAGGGAAAGGCUCGGCUCACACAUGUUCGUAUGAUUCGACUUUCUUGUGAAUUCAGGUUUUCCAUGGGACUCGAAUCCACUUCAAGAACUAUCACUCAUAUGGGACUUGAACCCACUUAGAUUAUCUUUUGCAGUAUGGGACUAGAACCCACUUAGGCGUCCACCCCUCCUCCAUGGACUCAAUCCAUAGUUGGGACUCAAACCCAUUGUGAGGCAUGAGCCUAAUCCCAAUUCUACUUUACAUAAGCAUCUCAAUUGGGAUGUGCAUGAUCAAGGGAAAUUUUUGAAUAUGUGAAUAGUUCUCAACAAUCACCACAUGAUUAUUCUUAUCAGACACUAUGCAAUUAUAUCACAAUCACCAUGGGUUGAUAUCAUAAUUACCAUAUGAUUUUAUCACAAUCACAUUAUAUUACAAUGUGUUUCCAUACAAGCUAGUUCAAUUUGCAAUUGGAUCAUCGUUAACCAUCCAUACCAUAUGGCACAUUUUAUAAAUGGAACGGUCCAUCUCUAGCAACUACUCGUUCAUGGAUGCGCAUCGAUGCACCUCUUACAUUCGAGCAUUGCAACCUAAGUUAUUUACCAUAACCUAAGUUAUCUUUUAUUAAUUCAUUCACCUAAUUACAAACCUAGGUCUAACCUCGCUUUUUAUCAUAUAUUUUAAUCAAUUAUUAUACAAUCAACACGAGUAAACAAUUUGUAGUAUAAUUCAUAAUACACAUGUGUUAACUCAUAUACAUACACAUCACAACAUGAUACAUGAAAUACACAUAAUAGUUCAUCACUAAUUAGGACUUUCGGAAUAAAGUCUCUUCACCAAUAUCCAAACAAUAACAUUUGGCAUUCAUAUAAUAUUUCCUCACAAAUUUUUCACUUAACUUAUUACAUAAACAUUAGGCGAAGCUUUCACGCAACUUGCUUUGACCUAAAUAAUACCACCUACACACCACAUAGUAAGUGUAUGUUUGAUCAUCCUAUGGUGGGGAUUACCCCGAUCGGACGGGGAAAUUUGAGUGGGAUAAGAACAUAGAAAUUCCAUUAUUUUAUAUCCCUUUGUGUUAUUUGACCGUGUCUCAUUCCGAAUUACGUCACAAACAAUGUCACGGAAAAAAACCACAAGACUAUCAGGCUAGCUAGGCGAGCCAACAUCUCACUGAGCGAGAGUGGGACAAAAAUGUAGUUGCAUGUCUCUACUUCACUCAGGGAGAGCUUCUAUCCAGUUAUUUUUUUGCUUGUCUUCUCGCUUUCAUUUUUGUUUUUAUUUCGGUUUGUGUAGUCUCCUUCAUUAUUGCAUUUCUUGUAAUCGAAUUUUGAUUUGAUUCGAUUUUAGCAUGCAUAAAACUUUGGUUAGAUUUGAUCUUGAUCUAAAAGUUCUUUGAUCAAUAUCAUAUGUUAGUGGAAUGAAAUAAUUUUGUGUUUUGGUUAAACUUUGAUAGAAAACUAAAAUCUCAAAAUGCUUUUGAAAUUUUGAGAUUUUGAGAUUUUACAAGAUUGAUUCGAAUCAUUCAGUUUUAUACUGAAUUUUUCAUCCUAAUCAAAUUGGACAGAAGUGAAACUCAAUAAUUUGAUUCUGAUCAAAUUUUACACUUGAUCCUGAUCAUUUUCCUGGGGACAAAUUCUAUUUGAUUUAAUUCGAAUCAAUAUUUGUACAUGAUUCAAAUCAAAGAGAUACUAUAUUGUAAAGCAAAUAAUAUUACACAUGUUCCAAGAGAGAGAAAAAACAUAUAUGAAAGCGUUUUGUUGAAGCUGGAAAGUACAAUAGUGACAAACGACAACCACUAUUUAAUAUAAGAGACACUUGAUAAACCAAGUCUCUUCAACAAAUUUGCAUUUCUCCUUCAUUAAUGUAUCACCUUGACAACAGGAAUGACAAUUUUUUCAUGGAUCACAUUAAAAAUUAAGAACGUACUUUGCCAGUAGUCCAUGUCAAAGCCAGCCUAGUGAAGAUAAUAGAAUGAUUAUACACUAUUAUAGUGGAAAUUAUACAUAAGAGGUCCCUCCCCCUAUUAAUUGUGGAUGUAAAUUACUUCACCAAAUGGAUCGACGUUGAGACCUUAGCAAAGAUCACAACCACCGUCAUUCCGAAACUCACAAUGUGAUACCUUCUCACCAAAGAGCUUUAUUAUCUCCUCCUUAGUGUAUGCCUCAAUUUUAAAAUGGGUUUCAAUAUAACACUUUUUAUUCAUGGGAAGAUCAACGCCUUUAGGGUCCACGUCUUAUUUUAGAAUUUCGUAAGGGUCUUCUUCAAAAACACUUCCUCAUCAGAUAAGUCAAUGCUCUUGUAUAUGUACGUCUUAAUACUCAUCAGAAGAUGAUGCUGCCUCCAAAACUUUGAGCAUAUAUUUAUGCAUAACGGGGGAAAUAAAAGUUCAAUGAGGUGAAGGAGAGAACCUCGGAGAAUACUCAUCGUUGUUGAAGGCCUCUGUCGUGAUUUCACAAAAACUUCGGUGAGUUGUACGGUUAAGGGGUGCAAAAAAUUAAUAUACUAACUUAAACCUUCUGACUAUAUAUAAUAUAGUAUAUAAUUAUAUAUAUUACUUAAUAUAUUAUAUUAUAUAUAUAUAUAUAAUAUAUAUAUAUAAUAUAUAUAUAUAUAUAAUAUAUAAUUAUAUAUAUAUAUAUAUAUAUUUAUAAUAUAUAUUUAAGGAUUAAUUACUAUGCAUUGUGAAUGUAAAAAUUACACCGUCGAUCUUCAUCAUCAUCUGUUUGCUUUACUUUAUAAUUUUUAAAAUAAAAGUCAAAUUUAUUUCAAUAUCCAACGUUUAAGAUUAACUGACUGUGUAAAAUCUUUUUACACUGUAAGUGUAUUUCAUUAAAUUAUAUUUAUAUUAUAUAUUAUAUAUAUUAUUAUAAUAUAUAUAUAUAUAUAUAUGGAUUAAUUACUAUGCACUGUCAGUGUAAAAAAAUUUACACCGUCGAUUCAUCACCAUCAUCCAUUUGCUUUACUUUAUAAAUAAAAGUCAAACUUAUUUCAAUAUCUUUCGACCUUGUUUGAAAGAGAUUAGUCCUUCGGGGAGAUCAUGGUUAUUAGAUGUUCUCAAUACACGAAUAAAUUGAAGAAGAAAAAUGUUAGCGUAUGAAUGUUAUUCUUUUUUUAUAUUCACACAAAUGUUUAAAAUCUUUUACAUAGGCCUAACUCAAAGGAUCCUUAUAUGAGAGAGAUAUCAUCAAAUGGUUUAGAAUUCCAAAUUCAAGGUCAUUAAAGGUAAGGUCGAACCACAUUAUAGAGAACGAGCAUUCGUGUAGAGGUAGUCCAUACAUUACAUAUUGGCUACAUUGUCGCUUACCAUUUUUGGUGUGGAUUAGUUGACAUUCUGAAGACGGGCCAACAUCUCAGUGAGCAAGAUCUAUUAUAUCUUCAUUUGUGUACUAGGACAGAGUCCUCAAGAUUUCUUCGUCUACCUAGAAAUAUUAACCACCAUCCUCGAGAAGAUCAAGAGUCAACUACAUCUUUCUCCCCAUGUUUGUUUCACUGUCAAUAAAUACAAAAUGCCUAACGUGAGUAUUACACCUUGUUAUUCUUCUAACCACUUAUUAAUCUCACCCUCAGUAACCUAGUGAAUGAACAAAUGUCAUAUACACCUAGUAACACUUUGAUUUCCUCGUUCCUCCCUAAGAUUCCCCAAAAAUGUGAGAGCAGUCAUCGGAAUUUCACCAAAGGUAAACACAACACCAACAUUCCUCUACUAUAUCUUAGUAGGGACAGGUUGUCUACUUUCUACAUUAAUCACUCCUAGGUUCGUCGGCUAUGGUUCUAUCACUUCUAGAUUAAUCACCUCUACAUUAGUUCAAGAUGAUGCAUCACUAAUCUCUACGUUGCUCCUAAGAUUGAUAAAGGGAUUCUAUAGUUCUAAGUUUUCUAAAUGGACCAUUAGUGAGAGACUAACCAAAAUCAAAGAACAAAAAGAUAUAAGAAAAUAUGUACAUUUUGCUUUAGUGUAAGUUCUUAAGAUUUAAGAGGGAAGCAAUUUGAUUCAAAUCAAAAGAUUCGGACCCUAAGAAACUUCAACAACAAUGGCAAAAAUCACAAUAAAAAGAAGAGAGAAGUCAUAUAUUGAAGAGUAAAUGCAGUCUAAAAAAUGAAUUUAAAUCCUAAAUUCCCAAAUAAUAAACAUUGAAAGCACCAACAUCAACCGUCUUGAUUCAACAACACAUACCAUCAUCCAAAUUUAUAUAUCCCUCGUUUAUAAAACAUACAUUCAUUCAAAUUUAAGAAAAUGCUCAAAUAUCAAAUUUCACAUCCAAAUCUCAAACAAGGUUGGGGGUAACAUUUCCCAAAUCCCUUCCUCCUGCAGAAAGAAAGUUAUAGGCAGAGGGGACUUCAUUAUGCAUAUCACUUUACAAGGAUUUGGACAUUGUUAAUUGCUAAGAAAAGCACAACGAUGACUACAUGUGUUCCAAGUUUUACUCAAAUAAAUGACACUUAAUCAUGUCUUGUUCAUUUCAAACAUAUUCCUUUUUAUUCUGCAACAUCAAAGUUAAUUAAGUCUAAUUCAUUUCCGCAAAACUCUUAGACCCGAAUUGGGCAGUAGAAAAAACGGUAAUUGUGACAAAUCUUUUUUCAAUUCAAAUCUGUACAUAGAAUGCUAAACCAUGAUCAUGCACAAAGAUGUCGUAAGACUUUGAAUUUUGCCCACAUAAUUCAAAACAAACAGGACCAAUCUACAUAAAACCGUGGAAUUUAUAACAUCAAAUUUGCAAACACUAGGUGGAAAUUACUACAAAUCUUCUAUUAAAUUAUCCUUCAUUCAAAUAAUUAAAGCAAUGAGAAGCAAUUUAACAAGACGAAUAUUUGCCCCACUAUGAAGUUAUAAUACUGCAAGUUCUCCUAUAACCAAUAACAGAGAUUAACAAAUUAAUACACAAGGAUUCAUUUGAUUUAAAAAAAGUUACACGCUAAUUCAGACCUAAUGCUAGCAUAGAUAAAUCUAUAAUAACCACUACAAAUCUCAAGCACUUGUAAACUUAGUGACAGCUUUCGUCCCUUCAGAAACAGCAUGCUUAGCCAAUUCUCCAGGCAGAACAAGCCUGACCGCAGUCUGAAUUUCCCUCGAUGUGAUUGUUGGCUUCUUGUUGUACCUUGCAAGUCUGGAAGAUUCAGCAGCAAGCUUCUCGAAGAUGUCGUUGAUGAAGCUGUUCAUGAUUCCCAUGGCCUUGCUUGAGAUACCGAUGUCAGGGUGAACCUGCUUCAGAACUUUGAAGAUAUAGAUCUUGUAUGUCUCCACAUUCUUCUUGUUUCUCUUCUUCUUCUUGUCUCCGGCGGCGGCACCAGCUUCCUUGGGAAGUUUCUUUCCAGCCUUGGGUUUCUUCUCGGCCGGAGACUUCUCGGCCACCGUAGACUUCUUCUCUUCGACAGGUUUCUUCUCAGCGGGCUUCUUCUCUCCCUUUGGCGCCAUUAGAGAAUUGAGAAUUUGAAACUAAAAUAAAAAUAGGGUUUCGAAUUGGGAAUUGGAAAUCAAAUGUGUUAUGAAUAGUGUUGUUGCGGUGAUUUAUAUAUAUAAGAAGGUUGUCGCGUUGCUAUUGGCCAAUGUGGUUAUUUCCGGAUCGUUGACGUGGAACUCUUUUAGCCGUUACACUCAUUUUUAUAAGGACAUGAUAGUCGACGGUCACUAUUGGCUUUAACUCAGCGAUGAUGAGGGUGCUGUGGGUGACUAGGAUGACGUUGAUACAUGCUUAUUAGAUUGCUAAAAUAAAAUAUACUCCGCAUUUAAAGAUAUUUUUAAAAAAAUCAUCUACACAUAUUUAUACAUUUUUAACAUAAGUUAAAUUAAUUUUUUAUUUUUAUUUUUAAACUCUUUUUUUAAAAAAAAAAUAUUUUAUAUCUAUCUAAAUACAUUUAAAAACAAAAUUUUCAUUUUCAUUAGUACAUCGAAGGAAUGAAGAUCACAAACAUAAUUCUUUUAGAGCAUUUAUCCAUAGAAAUAGUUUUACUUCAGUGAAACCUAAGAAUAAGAUAAAUCUGACACAUAAUCAAAGCUUCAAAACACUUAGGAUUGUCAGAUUUAUAUUUGUAAGGAUCAUUCAACAUAUGUCCAGUUAAACAACUAUAGGGAGUAUAAGGUUUUAGGCCUCUAAAAAUCUUAUAACUUUACUAUAAAAGACAAACGAAAGCUUUGCAUUUAGGUACAUACUAGUUUAAUCAUAAAUAUCUCUCACUUUCGAUUGUCACUCACUUGUCAUCGUAGUAUUUGCAGGUACCCCCUUCCUUCAUUGUCUCUGCUCAGGAGCAUCAAGACACUAAAUCAACUACUUGAGUUCAUAAUUAGAUGUCAAUUCACCGCUUCGCUCAUGAACCAAAUAUGUCUUUUCAAGAAUAAUUGGUGUCGUCUAUGGAACUCGACUUUCGAUGUUUCCACAAUACUCGACAACAAGAUUCAUUGGUGAACAAAGGAAGAAAGAUCGCAACAACGUCAGUGACAAGACCACUCCAUUUUCUAUCAAGUGAGAUCAUCAAAACUGCUCCAAACUCACAUACGAACAUACAAUAUUUCAGUCAUCUCAAGGAGCAUCAAUUCACUUACCUCUACCGCUAGCGGUUUCAACAUUUCCUUCUUUAGUCGAAGGCAUAAUGUUGUUGGUGAGAUUGUUAUCAAUUGAAUGAAUUCAACAAUUACCCCUAAAUAUAUUAGUAAGCGACAAUACUCUGCAUUAUCGACCCCUUUGAGCAAUAUAAUGAAAGGCUUUAAUGGAUUGAAGUGUCAGUCUCAACAAGCAAAUCCCCAUGAAGGACCGGAUCGGGUUUGAUAAGAGUCAAUGACGAAACACUUACAUUCAACGAGAAGGAUCUAGAGGAAUCAUCAUGUCCUCUUGACCCUAGAUCCCACUCCCUAAACCCAAGGAACCUUCAUCGUCUAGUCCCAAAGACCAUAAUCUUUGUCACAACCGGCACCACGGGAAUUUUUCACCAACUUCCUUUUUAUAAGAAAUUGGGUAAGGCGAGGAUACUCCUAAAAGGGAAUUUUCCCCCUUAGAACAAAAAUACCCCUUUAUCUCUUGUCUUUAUUAUAUAUUAUUGGUUUUCCAUCUAUCUUUUUAUUUUGUUGCAUAAUUACUUAUUUGUUUCUCCAAAAUAUUACCAAACUCUAUUUUUCCAAAUGAUUUAGUUUUCAACCAAUAUUUUCUAAACCUCCAUAUCUCCCCCUCCCCCUUCUUGUUUAUGAAGUCAUGUGUUCAACAAGUGGAAUCAUAGUCUAACUCAUGUUCAAAGACUAAUCAUCUCUAGAGGAAGAUGACUUCAAACACUUCUUAUAACAAGAUGAAUUUCCUUAACACACCUUCAUCGUUUAAUGGUAAUAUGUUUGUUAUAUGAAAAGUUAUAUUUAAAAUGUUCAUUGAAAGCUAUAAUAAUAAAUUGUGGAAAAUGAUAGUCAAUGGUCCGUUUAUUCCUACUCACUAUGUUAACGGUGAAGUAGUAUAUAAACGUGGGUUCCUUUUGACCAAAGAAAACAAGACAAAGUUCAAACUUAAUUUUAAAGAUAAAAACUUUUUUGUUAUGACUUUAAGUGAAAAUCAAUUUCUUUAUGUCCUUAAAUGUAAAUCCGCAAAGGAAGUGUGGGACACUCUUGAAAAGAUAUACAGAGUGUCUCUAAGUAUCGGACAAGAGAUAAUUAACACAUGAGUCUAAUAAGUUGAAUCACUAGAUUAAUAUGAAGAUUUACUUCAUAUAUGGUGUUCAACCACUGGAAAUAUUGGAAGACAUGAUAGAACUUUUGUAGCUAACAAAUAUCUAAUAAUUAAUAAUUGAAAUCAUAAAUUUGAUCCAAUCCUUAAAUCAAGAAUAGAGAUGUUUAUGAUUUUCAGGAAAAAUCUAGAAAGGGAGAGAUCUUUGAAAAGCUUAACAAAUUGAUACAAGUAUUAAAGGAUGAAAGAAUGAGCUCAUAAAUCCUAGAAAAUUCAUUGAAGAAAAAUUAUUUUUGAAGAAAAAGAAGAAAAAGAAGAAUAGUAAACUUCAAUAGUUUUAUUUGAAAGAACAAUAUCAAUUGACGAACGAUCCUCAGAAAUUUCAUUGUCUAGUAAUGAAACAACUUCAAUAAGGACGGUGUUUCGCCAAAUCUCAGUAUGGUGCCCAUUUGUUGAGUCAACAUGUGGAUCAUUUCAUAAUUAUUUUCGUUCAUUUGUUGUCUUAUGACUGCGACAGAACUUGACGUGAAAGUUGGGAUUGACUGAGAUGACAAUCCAAAACCUGGGGGUCGACCGAGUUGGCUUGCCAAAGGUCCUAACCCCUGGUUUCGUGGGAAUGGCGAUGACGAUGUUUCGCCAAAUGUCGAACCGAAAUUAUGCAUACUUGCCAUAAACUCGGUUGGCAUUCCCAACAUUCUGUGCAUGGGGACUGUGAAACUGGGCAUAUAUUGCCCAGAAGUUUCCAUCGUUGUUGGCGUCAGCGUUUGAGGCUGACGCAGUGUUAGAAUCGGCCCACUAUACACAGUCAAAACCGCAAGUAUAGCGCUGGAACCAACAUCGGUUGUUUGUGACGCAAUUGUGUCUUCCGCCAAAGACAUUUCUUCGUGUGGUCGUGGUGAGAUCAUCUUACCACUACGUAGUUUCAUAUACUGAACAUUUCGGGUCUCACCAGGUGUGCCAAUUUGUUUCUCGCGACAAUCUCUAGCUUUUCUAUUUAAGAUUUACUUGCAUGACCGGCUACAAAGUCCUAGACUUAUAUGUGUUGAGUGUAUGACUAUUUCGUUGAUAAAGUGUUUAGAAUACUUUUGGGUAGUAAGUGCAAUAUUUUGCAAAUUAGAAAUGGAAUAAAAGGCAAAAUACUGAUGUAAAUGAACAAAGCAAAUAAAAGUAAUUUGGCAAGUUAAAUGACUUGAAGAUAAAAAUGGAAGCAAAAGUACAUUUUGUAGGAAGAUAACUUUUUUCUCUCAAACACUUCAUACUUCAAGUGUAUUCCUACUGCAAUGUUAAAAAUAUCUCCCUCAUAAAUGAAAAUUACAUCUACUUAAAUAUUAGCAAAAAAUAAUUGUUGGGAGAUUACGACCCAUUUAUGAGAUGACAUGUGUCGGGCAUAUCUCUCACGUUUGCUGGUAACUUCUCACGUUCAGCUUCCCACGAUUAAUCCCUACCAUAGUAAGCGGACCUUUUCGACUUUGACAGACUUCCCCUUUCGUCAAUCCAGCGCUCUUGGCUCUCCGCCUCGUCAAUCCAGCUUUCGAGUGUCCUUUGGUCGACCCUAUUUUAUACCUCUUGGGUUGAAAUUUGCCAGCUAAUAUAAUGUUAUUCUUGUAUUCACACCAAUGUUUGAAAACUUUCACAUAAACUAACUCUUUGGGUCCAUGUGAGGGAGAAAUCCUAAAUGAUAUAGAGUUCCAAAUUCAAAGUCAUUAAAUGGAAGGACAAAUCACAUUCUAGAGAACAAACAUUUGUAUAGAGGUAGUCCAUACAUUCCAUAUCGGUUAUAUUAUCGCUUACCAUUUUUUGUGUGGAUUACUUCCCAAUUUGAAAACGGACCAACAUCUCUGUGAAAAAAGAUCCAUACCAAGACGAGUUACGGAGUUUUCUUCGUCUACCUAUAGAUAUUGAUCACCAUCAUCGAUAAGAUCAAUAGUCAAUGCUUUCUCCCCGUGUUCGUUUCGUUGUCAAUGGAUAUAAACUACCUAAUGUGAGUAUUAGGUCUUGAUAGUUCCUCUAAUCACCUAUUAAUCUCACCCUGGGUAACCUCGUAAUGGAACAGACGCCUUAUACACAUAGCAACAUUUUGAUUCACUUUCUAGGUUAGUCACUCUUAGGUUUGUCGCCUCAGGCUCUUCUGUGACUUCUGGUUAAUCACCUCCACCUCAGUUUAAGAUGAUGUAUCACUAAUCGCUACUAAAAUAAAUGAAAGGAUUACGUGUUCUGAGAUUUCUAAAUUGGCCAUUAAGUUGGACAUUAGUGGGAGACUAACGAAAAUCAAAGAAUAGCGAGAUAAGAAAACAACUACCUUAAUUUGAUUGUAUCGUAUCUUUCAAUUAUAAUUUGAUUGUAUCAAAACAUCCACAAUUAUCGAAACAUAAUUCUAAAAUCCAUCAAAAUUUGGAUCAAAAUUAAUGCUCUGGUAUCAAAUUUCGCAUACAAAUCUCAAACAACAUGGUCGGAUACGUUUUACCAAACCCAAUGCUCUUGCAGAAGUGAAGUUACAGGCAUAGAGGGGACUUCAUAAACAAUAUGACCAGUAUGGUUGAAAUUUAGAUACCCGGGGAAUUUAUAAACAACAAAUUUGUAAACAAAUAGACUAGGGUGAAAAUUUCAACACCAUUUAAGCUCUUUAAUUCAAAAAAUUUAAGACGAACAUACCCCAUUAUAAACUUAUAAUACUGAAAAAUCAUACAUAACCAAAAACAAGAGGAUUGAUUUGAUUUUAAAAGAAAGUUACACACUAAUUCAGACCUAAUUCUAGCACUUAUACAAAAUUCAAGCACUUGUAAACUUAGUGACAGCUUUCGUCCCUUCAGAAACAGCAUGCUUAGCCAAUUCUCCAGGCAGAACAAGCCUGACCGCAGUCUGAAUUUCCCUCGAUGUGAUUGUUGGCUUCUUGUUGCUCUGUUGUACCUUGCAAGUCUGGAAGAUUUUCUCGAAGAUGUCGUUGAUGAAGCUGUUCAUGAUUCCCAUGGCCUUGCUUGAGAUACCGAUGUCAGGGUGAACCUGCUUCAGAACUUUGAAGAUGUAGAUCUUGUAUGUCUCCACGCUCUUCUUGUUUCUCUUCUUCUUCUUGUCUCCGGCGGCGGCACCGGCUUCCUUGGGAAGCUUCUUUCCGGCUUUGGGUUUCUUCUCGGCAGGAGACUUCUCGGCCACCGUAGACUUCUUCUCUUCAACAGGUUUCUUCUCAGCGGGCUUCUUCUCUCCCUUUGGCGCCAUUGAGAAUUGAGAAUUUGGAACUUUGAAGAAAAAUUAGGGUUUCGGAUUGGAUAUUAGAAUUGGAAAUCAA
rnacentral:lncRNA from 1 species